rfam:Chlorobium phaeobacteroides DSM 266, complete genome.
CAAGUCCCUGCAGUGAAAGGAUUAGCGAUCCGCACUGGCCCCGAGUCAUGCGCGCAUAACCGCGAGGAUAUGCGCGAAGCAUUGACAGGGGUGCAUAUAGGCCAGCCAUUGAGCGGCGAAAAUGAGCAAAUUUGGGGAGCCCAUGCCCUCCUAAAAGCAGAAGGCAAUACAGACGAAGUGCGAUAACGCGAGCACAAGACUGUCCCCACGACGUCAGAGAACC